AACGAACGCUGGCGGCAUGCCUAACACAUGCAAGUCGAACGAGACCUUCGGGUCUAGUGGCGCACGGGUGCGUAACGCGUGGGAAUCUGCCCUCUGGUACGGAAUAACAGUUAGAAAUGACUGCUAAUACCGUAUAAUGACUUCGGUCCAAAGAUUUAUCGCCUGAGGAUGAGCCCGCGUCGGAUUAGCUAGUUGGUAAGGUAAAGGCUUACCAAGGCGACGAUCCGUAGCUGGUCUGAGAGGAUGAUCAGCCACACUGGGACUGAGACACGGCCCAGACUCCUACGGGAGGCAGCAGUGGGGAAUAUUGGACAAUGGGCGAAAGCCUGAUCCAGCAAUGCCGCGUGAGUGAUGAAGGCCUUAGGGUUGUAAAGCUCUUUUACCCGGGAUGAUAAUGACAGUACCGGGAGAAUAAGCCCCGGCUAACUCCGUGCCAGCAGCCGCCGUAACAC
rnacentral:rRNA from 1 species